UCUGAACUGAAGUUAGUGCUGCAUGUAAUCACUCACCUACUAGAAGUGAUGUUUCAGUUAGAAGUGAUGGUUCAUAAAUUAACCCUCCAACUUUACUGAUGCACA